rnacentral:rRNA from 1 species
AUGGCGCACGGCGCCUUGGCAUCCGUGGAGGCCGUGGAUGAGGAGAAGAACUUGACGAAGUGGGGCAUCUGCUUGUCGGAGUUCGAGGGAAGGAGGAGAUCCGCUUUUUCUGUCGCGAAAGGGUGCGGCCACGGAUUCCACAUCGUGUGCCGGUGUGCGUCGACGCCUGACUCCUACGUACAGUUUAUGUGUAUCGACUGCUGGUAUUCCUGUCGUCGGAUAUGGCUGAUGCUUACGUUCGAGAAGUUUAAUUCCCGCAUGAAAGGCAGCAGGGGACAACAGAGAGGCUAUUUUAUCUAA